rnacentral:rRNA from 1 species
AGCGAACGCUGGCGGCAGGCCUAACACAUGCAAGUCGAACGAACCUUUCGGGGUUAGUGGCGGACGGGUGAGUAACACGUGGGAACGUGCCUUUAGGUUCGGAAUAACUCAGGGAAACUUGUGCUAAUACCGAAUGUGCUCUUCGGGGGGAAGAUUUAUCGCCUUUAGAGCGGCCCGCGUCUGAUUAGCUAGUUGGUUGAGGUAAUGGCGCACCAAGGCGACGAUCAGUAGCUGGUCUGAGAGGAUGAUCAGCCACAUUGGGACUGAGACACGGCCCAAACUCCUACGGGAGGCAGCAGUGGGGAAUCUUGCGCAAUGGGCGAAAGCCUGACGCAGCCAUGCCGCGUGAAUGAUGAAGGUCUUAGGAUUGUAAAAUUCUUUCACCGGGGACGAUAAUGACGGUACCCGGAGAAGAAGCCCCGGCUAACUUCGUC